UACGAAGGGGGCUAGCGUUGUUCGGAAUUACUGGGCGUAAAGCGCACGUAGGCGGCCAUGUAAGUUGGGGGUGAAAUCCCGGGGCUCAACCCCGGAACUGCCUUCAAAACUACAUAGCUAGAGGAUGUGAGAGGAUAGUGGAAUUCCGAGUGUAGAGGUGAAAUUCGUAGAUAUUCGGAAGAACACCGGUGGCGAAGGCGACUGUCUGGCACAUUUCUGACGCUGAGGUGCGAAAGCGUGGGGAGCAAACAGG
rnacentral:rRNA from 1 species